GACGAACGCUGGCGGCGUGCCUAAUACAUGCAAGUCGAACGCAGUGGGGACGGGUGAGUAACACGUGGGUAACCUCCCAUCAGAGGGGAUAACACUUGGAAACAGGUGCUAAACCGAUACUGAUGGAUGAACCCGCGGUGCAUUAGCUAGUUGGUGAGGUAACGGCUCACCAAGGCCACGAUGCAUAGCCUAUCUGGUAGUGUGGUCUGCCACACGUGGACGUAGACACGGCCCAGACUCCUACGUGAGGCACCAGUAGGGAAUCGUCGGUAAUGGACUAAAGGCUGACCGAGCAACGCCGCGUGAGGGAAGAAGGUUUUCGGAUCGUAAACCUCGGUUGUUAGAGAAUCGGUACCUAACCAGAAAGCCACGGCUAACUACGUGCCAGCAGCCGCGGUAAUUC
rnacentral:rRNA from 1 species